rnacentral:tRNA from 1 species
UGAGCUAUGGUGUAAUGGCAGCACAACAGGUUUUGGUUCUGUUUGUCUUGGUUCGAAUCCGAGUAGCUCAA